GCCACAAAUGACAAAGAGCCUCUGCAGGAUACGCUAGGAAAUCUGGUGGUCACCCCAGAUGACAAAGCUAGCCUCUUUAACAAUUGCUUUGCCUCCAUCUUUUUGAGCAGGGACUGGGCAUCCGCCCCACUGGGAUCCCUGAUGGA